rnacentral:rRNA from 1 species
UACAGAGGGGGCCAGCGUUAUUCGGAAUUAUUGGGCGUAAAGGGCGCGUAGGCGGCCAUGCGUGUCUUCCGUGAAAUCCCUCGGCUCAACCGAGGACGUGCGGAAGAAACUGCAAGGCUCGGAGUCCGGAAGAGGGGGGGCGGAAUUCCCAGUGUAGCGGUGAAAUGCGUAGAUAUCUGGAGGAACACCGGUGGCGAAGGCGGCAUCCUGGACCAAUUCUGACGCUGAGGAGCGAAAGCCAGGGGAGCAAACGGG